rnacentral:rRNA from 1 species
UACAGAGGGUGCGAGCGUUGUUCGGAAUUACUGGGCGUAAAGGCGCGCGCAGGCGGCCUUUAAGUCUGCGGAUGAAAUGCCGGGGCUCCAACCCGUUGCAGGCCUGACGGAUACUGGGAGGCUGGAGACGAGUAGAGGCAAGCGGAAUUCCGGGUGUAGCGGUGGAAUGCGGUAGAAGAUCCGGAAGAACACCGGUAGGCGAAGGGCAGGUUCAGCCGUGGACACUUACUGGACGCUACAGGCA